UACGUAGGGUGCAAGCGUUGUCCGGAAUUAUUGGGCGUAAAGAGCUUGUAGGCGGUUUGUCGCGUCUGCUGUGAAAUUUCGGGGCUCAACCCCGAACUUGCAGUGGGUACGGGCAGACUAGAGUGUGGUAGGGGAGACUGGAAUUCCCGGUGUAGCGGUGAAAUGUGUAGAGAUCGGGAGGAACACCGGUGGCGAAGGCGGGUCUCUGGGCAUCUCCUGACGCUGAGGCGCGAAAGCGUGGGGAGCAAACGGG
rnacentral:rRNA from 1 species